CUGAGAAUGUGGGCCAAAUUUACAACUGCUAUGUUAGUAUAUCGCAUCACAUUCUGGUGUGGAUGCAAAGCGAUAAGCCAGCUUCCUGCUUCUGCCAUGACUUCCUGCCUAUUGCCGUUCCUUCUCCGCCAUGAUAGACUAUCCCUUUGGAAAUGUAAACCACAAUAAACUUGCUUUUUUUUUCAGUGA